GAAGGGGGUAUAAACACAAAGAACUGCUAAUUC
rnacentral:tRNA from 1 species